UACUCCUACGGGAGGCAGCAGUAGGGAAUCUUCCACAAUGGGCGCAAGCCUGAUGGAGCAACGCCGCGUGAGUGAAGAAGGUUUUCGGAUCGUAAAGCUCUGUUGUUGGUGAAGAAGGAUAGAGGUAGUAACUGGCCUUUAUUUGACGGUAAUCAACCAGAAAGUCACGGCUAACUACGUGCCAGCAGCCGCGGUAAU
rnacentral:rRNA from 1 species